UACGUAGGGGGCGAGCGUUGUCCGGAAUUAUUGGGCGUAAAGGGCUCGUAGGCGGUCUGUUGCGUCGGGAGUGAAAACUCAGGGCUUAACCCUGAGCCUGCUUCCGAUACGGGCAGACUAGAGGUAUGCAGGGGAGAACGGAAUUCCUGGUGUAGCGGUGAAAUGCGCAGAUAUCAGGAGGAACACCGGUGGCGAAGGCGGCUCUCUGGGACGGUACUGACGCUGAGACGCGAAAGCGUGGGGAGCGAACAGG
rnacentral:rRNA from 1 species